GUACACGCUGUGACUAGCAUAUCAAUAAGCGGAGGAAAAGAAACUAACAAGGAUUCCCCUAGUAACGGCGAGUGAAGCGGGAAGAGCUCAAAUUUGAAAUCUUAAAGGGUUUCCCUUUACGAAUUGUAGUUUAAAGAAGUGUUUUCUGUUGAGGUUUUGGUAAAAGUUCUUUGGAAUAGGACAUCAUAGAGGGUGAGAAUCCCGUAUUUGACCUUUACUUUCAACUUUGUGAUACACUUUCAGAGAGUCGGAUUGUUUGGGAAUGCAGUCCAGAAUGGGUGGUAAAUUUCAUCUAAAGCUAAAUAUUGGCGAGAGACCGAUAGCGAACAAGUACCGUGAGGGAAAGAUGAAAAGAACUUUGAAAAGAGAGUUAAACAGUACGUGAAAUUGUCAAAAGGGAAGCGUUUGACACCAGUGUUGUUUUUCUGAAAAUCAAUUAAAGAACUGUUUAUGCUAAGUUGUUUAGACUUUAUCAGCUAACUGUUUAGUUUUGAGCUUUUCUUUAAUGCACUUUUCAGUUAACAAGUCAACAUCAAUUUCUUUUGCUGUAAAAAAGCUUGAGGAAGGUGGCUUGAGAUUCGUCUUAAGUGUUUAUAGCCUCUUGCCUAUGCAGUCGGAGAGAUUGAGGUCUGCAGCGUAGAUCCUUCGGGGCUAAAUGCAUUUGUGCUAAGUUAUAGCAUUUUCAUAGACAACUUGUUGACUAUGAUUUGUCUUGUAGCUUACUCGCUUAUGUUAUUUUACCUACGCUUAGGAUGUUGACAGCAGUAUAGACUGU
rnacentral:rRNA from 1 species